rnacentral:rRNA from 1 species
CCGGGAACUCAUAGGAGACUGCCGGGGUCAACUCGGAGGAAGGUGGGGAUGAGGUCAAGUCAUCAUGCCCCUUAUGUCCAGGGCUUGAAACAUGCUACAAUGGCUGGUACAAAGGGCUGCGAUACCGCAAGGUGGAGCGAAUCCCAUAAAGCCAGUCUCAGUUCGGAUUGGGGUCUGCAACUCGACCCCAUGAAGUCGGAGUCGCUAGUAAUCGCAGAUCAGCAAUGCUGCGGUGAAUACGUUCCCGGGCCUUGUACACACCGCCCGUCAAGUCAUGAAAGUCGGUAACACCCGAAGCCGGUGGCCCAACCCUUGUGGAGGGAGCCGUCGAAGGUGGGACCGGUAAUUAGGACUAAGUCGUAACAAGGUAGCCGUACCGGAAGGUGC